rnacentral:rRNA from 1 species
GAUGAACGCUGGCGGCGUGCCUAAUACAUGCAAGUCGAGCGAACAGACGAGGAGCUUGCUCCUCUGACGUUAGCGGCGGACGGGUGAGUAACACGUGGAUAACCUACCUCUGAGACUGGGAUAACUUCGGGAAACCGGAGCUAAUACCGGAUAAUAUAUUGAACCGCAUGGUUCAAUAGUGAAAGACGGUUUUGCUGUCACUUAUAGAUGGAUCCGCGCCGCAUUAGCUAGUUGGUAAGGUAACGGCUUACCAAGGCAACGAUGCGUAGCCGACCUGAGAGGGUGAUCGGCCACACUGGAACUGAGACACGGUCCAGACUCCUACGGGAGGCAGCAGUAGGGAAUCUUCCGCAAUGGGCGAAAGCCUGACGGAGCAACGCCGCGUGAAUGAUGAAGGUCUUCGGAUCGUAAAACUCUGUUAUUAGGGAAGAACAAAUGUGUAAGUAACUAUGCACGUCUUGACGGUACCUAAUCAGAAAGCCACGGCUAACUACGUG